UACUACGUGAUAGAUAAGCCAAUUGCAAGCUUGGUCAGGUAUAUAAGUGAACCCACAUCUCCAUCUCUUCCUCUGUCUAUAGCUAGUGAUCAGAUACUGGGAACUAAGGGACUACCAUUGUGUCGCAGAAUAUAAGAAUGAAGACCUUUAUCGUCCUUGCUGCCGUUGCUGUUGUGUGCAGUGCAAAAUACAUCGUGGACGUGCAAAGUGGACAGUUGCCAUGUAAACCAUGUAACCAUGACGACAUUCCUCUUGGACAGUUUAAAUUGUUGAACCCAGUAUGUGGACCAUGCGGAGAAAUGUAUGGACCGUCUUUUGAAUUUUGCUGCAUGUGUGACAGAAAGAUCAGACGCGCAUGCGAAGAAGCUAUUCGGAAAUAGGAAUUCAAGACUACAGCAUUGAAGGAAAUUAUGGAUUUUGGUAUGAGUAGAGACAUGUAUGGCAAUGGCUCUUGUCUUGCAGACAUUCUGAAGUGAUUGUGUUUGAUCUCAAAUACAGUUAACAAUAAAAUGCCUUUCAAUUA